rnacentral:rRNA from 1 species
UGGGGAAUAUUGGACAAUGGGGGCAACCCUGAUCCAGCCAUGCCGCGUGUGUGAAGAAGGCCUUUUGGUUGUAAAGCACUUUAAGCAGUGAAGAAGACUCCAUGGUUAAUACCCAUGGACGAUGACAUUAGCUGCAGAAUAAGCACCGGCUAACUCUGUGCCAGCAGCCGCGGUAAUACAGAGGGUGCAAGCGUUAAUCGGAAUUACUGGGCGUAAAGCGAGCGUAGGUGGCUUGAUAAGUCAGAUGUGAAAGCCCCGGGCUUAACCUGGGAACGGCAUCUGAUACUGUUAGGCUAGAGUAGGUGAGAGGAAGGUAGAAUUCCAGGUGUAGCGGUGAAAUGCGUAGAGAUCUGGAGGAAUACCGAUGGCGAAGGCAGCCUUCUGG